rnacentral:rRNA from 1 species
CCUACGGGGGGCUGCAGUGGGGAAUAUUGGACAAUGGGGGGAACCCUGAUCCAGCCAUGCCGCGUGUGUGAAGAAGGCCCUCGGGUUGUAAAGCACUUUCAGUGAGGAAGAACGCCUGGUGGUUAAUACCCAUCAGGAAAGACAUCACUCACAGAAGAAGCACCGGCUAACUCCGUGCCAGCAGCCGCGGUAAUACGGAGGGUGCGAGCGUUAAUCGGAAUUACUGGGCGUAAAGCGCGCGUAGGUGGCUUGAUAAGCCGGUUGUGAAAGCCCCGGGCUCAACCUGGGAACGGCAUCCGGAACUGUCGAGCUAGAGUGCAGGAGAGGAAGGUAGAAUUCCCGGUGUAGCGGUGAAAUGCGUAGAGAUCGGGAGGAAUACCAGUGGCGAAGGCGGCCUUCUGGACUGACACUGACGCUGAGGUGCGAAAGCGUGGGUAGCAAACAGGAUUAGAUACCCGGGUAGUC